CUGGUUCUGAGUGCUGCGAUUACAGGCUCAGGCCUCUUCAUAACAGCGGAGAUAGCAACUUUUAUCAUAGUUAGAAGCUUAGCUUUCACUAAUCCUUUCUAUAUGGAGGACUGAAGCUUAUCAUCUACAUCCCUUAUAUAAAUCAGUGAAUGUAUGUAGUAGGCCCUUUCCUCCAGGGUCAUAGUAAAUAAGGCGGCCAGACUCAUCUGCUACCCUACAAUAGGCAAAAAACACUUCCUUUCAACAUCCCAUAAUUUCAUCAAUUAUGUAGUCCAGUGAAGGAACAGAUCUCAAAAUUCCUCGGGGAAAUGUCAGUUCUUUCAAAACAAUACUUCCAAAGUGUCUAAAGUUUUCACUGAACAUGAUUAUUAUUAGGUUAACCCCAAGGGAAUCAAUCGUUGAUGGGAUUUUGCCUACAGUUACUAGCUUUGAUGCUUCAGAAAUGAAUACUUAAUAUUCUACAUCAUAUUGAUCAAUUUUAGGAAACUAUUAGAAGUACUCCUUUUUAAAACAAAUAAGUAAGCUUAACUACUUCAUAGCUUUUCAAAAUAGCUAUUUUUGAGAAACGGUAAUAUAACUUCUGACUGCUGUGCUGGCUGGGCCUGCUGGAGAAUACAACACAAUGGGAACUGUCUCCAAGCUGGGCUGCAGGGCCUCUAGCUAUUUGAGCUUUAACCAACUUAACGAAGACAUAGCCUCGAGCAGAGACCUUCCCUCCAGAUUUGUGGCUGUCAGGACAGAACCCCAAGGGCAGAAAACACCUAAAGAACUGCCAGUAAGCCACGUGGGUAGUAGACACGGAGAGGGAGAGGCCUGUUCAAACCGCCAUGCUGCUCGAAGUUGAUGAUCCUAGGUCCACCACACCAAGGUCCAGAACAUGACCGCGAGCCUCCGGCCACUGUGCGUUUGUCCCUCCGGAGGAGCCAGCCUGGGCCAGACACCAUGAUCCCACAGAGAGAGAAGGGAUGGGACCUUGUUGCUGAACCACGGGCCGGUACUAGGCAGCAGAGCCUGUCCAGAAACCAGAAAGGGGCCCAGCACAAACCAGGAGGUCAACCCCUCGGCCACAGCCACCCGCAGCAGCGCAGCAGAUGCAGGACUGGUUUGGCCUGACCUUGCUUACAACCUCUGGCCAGUCGGAGCCGGUCCGCACUGGUCCCGGGCGCGGAGGAGGGCUGCGUGGGCGCCAUUUUCCACCUCAGCACAGCAGGUGCAGUAUUUCACAGGCCCGCCCGGUUUCCCUAACAGGGCUGUCUCCGCAAUGUUUGAUUGCAUUUCAGUUUGGACGUCGGUAUUUCAGCAGAGGAUGGGACAGUCACAAAGACCCCUGGGUCCUGAACUAUUUUAAGGAUUUUUGCUGAGCUAUAGAAGACUCCAGUCUGGUUGUUCAUCCCAGCAAACUAACCAUCUUUUGCAGGAAUGAAUGGCCCACCAAUAAAGUAGAAUGGCCCAAGGAAGGGACUUCUCAUCUUCCCACAAUACAGGGUGAAGGUUUAGUUUAUGAGGCCAGGGGCCACAAGGACCAAGUGCCAUAUAUCACUGCACUGGCCAAGAAGCCUGCUGCUUAGAUGAGAUAUUUUUGGUUACAUGCUUUGCUGCUCCCCACCCUUCUUCCUCUAAAGGAGUGUCGGCCUUGGUCUCCUGCUCUGUUUUCCCUUUCUGCUACCAAGGAGGAUCUCUGUCCCACUCCUUGUGUUCCUGCUCCUGCUGCCACUGCCACUGCCACUGCCAGCCAGCAUAGGCAGAGGGAAGAGCAGCCCUGACUCCCCUGAGUCAUUGGCUCCACUUGGAGUCCACCUCAUACUCAGGCCCAUACUGCCCAGAAGGCUGACUCUACUAAGGCCUCACCCUCCAGGUUAUGGGAAUCCCCGGUGCUCAGGGGGGACAGUUCAUGAGAUACGUGCCAUUUGCCAGGAAUGAGCUUUACAAUUGGCAUUUGCAGAACUCCUCAUUUUUAGAAAGACCAUCAGCUCUCACAGGUCUUCUGGAUUCAAUCAUGCGGACUCAUCUGCCCACCUGCAAUGACUGUCAGCAGUUGUUCCAGGUCC
rnacentral:sRNA from 1 species